AGAAGUUUUGGGCCCAGAUUCCCAAACAAAUGAAAAGGCCUCAUUGGUUCAAUGUGAAGCUUUAUCCUUUUUAUUUUUCAUUAUUUUCUUUUUAUGCUAUUUUUUUUUUUUUCAAUUUGUCUUUGUUUAAAUUUAUUAGCCACAUUCUUUGUAAAUUUUUCUUUUAGAUUCUUCUUAUUUAUAUUUUUCAUUUUGUUUCUACAUAGUUCUCUUUAUGUGUACUAAGUUGAAGAAACGAUAAAUUUUUAUUAAAUUUUAAAUUGAGUUAGAAAAAAUAUUUAUAUAUAAUAAAGUAAAUUAAAUUUAACCGAAC
rnacentral:lncRNA from 1 species